AACGAACGCUGGCGGCAGGCUUAACACAUGCAAGUCGAGCGCCCCGCAAGGGGAGCGGCAGACGGGUGAGUAACGCGUGGGAAUCUACUCAUCUCUACGGAACAACUCCGGGAAACUGGAGCUAAUACCGUAUACGUCCUUCGGGAGAAAGAUUUAUCGGAGAUGGAUGAGCCCGCGUUGGAUCAGCUAGUUGGUGGGGUAAUGGCCUACCAAGGCGACGAUCCAUAGCUGGUCUGAGAGGAUGAUCAGCCACACUGGGACUGAGACACGGCCCAGACUCCUACGGGAGGCAGCAGUGGGGAAUAUUGGACAAUGGGCGCAAGCCUGAUCCAGCCAUGCCGCGUGAGUGAUGAAGGCCCUAGGGUUGUAAAGCUCUUUCAACGGUGAAGAUAAUGACGGUAACCGUAGAAGAAGCCCCGGCUAACUUCGUGCCAGCCGCCGCAGUAAAAC
rnacentral:rRNA from 1 species